rnacentral:rRNA from 1 species
UACGGAGGGUGCAAGCGUUAUCCGGAUUCACUGGGUUUAAAGGGUGCGUAGGCGGGCAGGUAAGUCAGAGGUGAAAUCUCCGGGCUUAACCCGGAAACUGCCUUUGAUACUAUCUGUCUUGAAUAUGGUGGAGGUAAGCGGAAUAUGUCAUGUAGCGGUGAAAUGCUUAGAGAUGACAUAGAACACCUAUUGCGAAGGCAGCUUACUACGCCUAUAUUGACGCUGAGGCGCGAAAGCGUGGGGAGCGAACAGG